rnacentral:sRNA from 1 species
UUUGCUUCGACUACAAAGCAUUGGAUAGA